rnacentral:lncRNA from 1 species
AAUGUCGGUUUGAUCCAACGGCCCAGAUUCAUUUGAAAAGACUAUAUAAGCAAGGCCCCCUAGCCCCUGGAGAUCAUACCUCUUCUACAGAAUCAAAGUUAGGUUUUCAAUUCUUCAUCCAAGUAGAGAGGAUCCCUCUAGUUCAUCUAGAUCUAGUUCUAGUUCAUCUAGUUCUAGUUCUAGUUCUAGUUCCUCUAGUUCUAGUUCUAGUUAGUUCUAGUUAUAAUCUAGAAAAUAGGGCGA